rnacentral:rRNA from 1 species
AUUGAACGCUGGCGGCAGGCUUAACACAUGCAAGUCGAGCGGGGUGAUGGUGCUUGCACUAUCACUUAGCGGCGGACGGGUGAGGAAUGCUUAGGAAUCUGCCUAUUAGUGGGGGACAACAUCUCGAAAGGGAUGCUAAUACCGCAUACGUCCUACGGGAGAAAGCAGGGGAUCACUUGUGACCUUGCGCUAAUAGAUGAGCCUAAGUCGGAUUAGCUAGUUGGUGGGGUAAAGGCCUACAAAGGCGACGAUCUGUAGCGGGUCUGAAAGGAUUGUCCGCCACCCUGGGACUGAGCCACGGCCCAGACUCCUACGGGAGGCAGCAGUGGGGAAUAUUGGACAAUGGGGGGAACCCUGAUCCAGCCAUGCCGCGUGUGUGAAGAAGGCCUUAUGGUUGUAAAGCACUUUAAGCGAGGAGGAGGCUCUUUCGGUUAAUACCCAAGAUGAGUGGACGUUACUCGCAGAAUAAGCACCGGCUAACUCUGUGCCAGCAGCAGCCGUAA